rnacentral:rRNA from 1 species
GUAGCUAAGUUCGGAAUUGAUAAGCGCUGAAAGCAUCUAAGCGCGAAGCGAGCCCUGAGAUGAGUCUUCCCUGACAGUUUAACUGUCCUAAAGGGUUGUUCGAGACUAGAACGUUGAUAGGCAGGGUGUGUAAGCGUUGUGAGGCGUUGAGCUAACCUGUACUAAUUGCCCGUGAGGCUUAACCAUACAACACCCAAGGGGUUUUGUA